rnacentral:rRNA from 1 species
AUUGGACGCUGGCGGCAGGCCUAACACAUGCAAGUCGAACGGUAACAGGAAGAAGCUUGCUUCUUUGCUGACGAGUGGCGGACGGGUGAGUAAUGUCUGGGAAACUGCCUGAUGGAGGGGGAUAACUACUGGAAACGGUAGCUAAUACCGCAUAACGUCGCAAGACCAAAGAGGGGGACCUUCGGGCCUCUUGCCAUCGGAUGUGCCCAGAUGGGAUUAGCUAGUAGGUGGGGUAACGGCUCACCUAGGCGACGAUCCCUAGCUGGUCUGAGAGGAUGACCAGCCACACUGGAACUGAGACACGGUCCAGACUCCUACGGGAGGCAGCAGUGGGGAAUAUUGCACAAUGGGCGCAAGCCUGAUGCAGCCAUGCCGCGUGUAUGAAGAAGGCCUUCGGGUUGUAAAGUACUUUCAGCGGGGAGGAAGGGAGUAAAGUUAAUACCUUUACCCAUUGACGUUACCCGCAGAAGAAGCACCGGCUAACUCCGUG